GGAGCCUCUGGCAGCAAGGGGGCCGGCUCUCUCUCCAGCAGCAGUUCAGCCACCCGCUGUGGGAAGUCGAGGGUCAGAAGCCAGAGGGCCUCUGCAAGGACGCUGGGCCUCCUGUGGUGAGUCGGGGCGUUCACACCUGCCUCUUCUGACAUGGCCGGCUUCGCUUUCCCGUCGGUGUUUCUCAAGCUCACCCUAGCUCCGCUCCCAACCCAGAAGCCUGGGGAGGUCGGAUGCUGCCACCCCGACAAACCUCCUCUGAACCCCAGCCAGGAGUGAGUCCCCCUCCUCCGCCCUACCCUCCCCCAUCCUCUCUGCACACCAGAUUGAGACAGGACAUCUGACCUCACAGGCCUCCAUUUCCCCUUCUGAACAAGAAGUGGCCUGGACUCUGGCCUCUGAAGGAAGGGGUAUAGUGCAGAAGCCUUCAACAUGUCUCCUCGUCACCCUCCCUACCCCACCCCUGCACUGCUGAGACUCCCAGCAUGUCUUGUAGACAAACAGGCCAGGAGGACCUCCCAGUUCCCCGAGGGCGCCUCCAUUCAUUCUUUCAUCUGCCGGCGCCUUGCCAGACACCGCUAGAUACUGGGGUGUAAUGAAAGCCCCCAAGUCCCUGCACCCACAAGGCUCAGUUCACUGGGGAGAUGACCCCCCAAAAUCACACCUGCGCUCAAAUGUAAUAUUGCAGCUAUACCAUGUGCAUGGACAGUGAAGGGACUGACUCCUGGGAUGGUCGGGGAAGGCAGCCUGCAGGGGGCCACAUGAGGAAGCUGAGACCGGGGAUGAUAGGGUGAAGCAGGCAAAGAGGGGAGGAAGAGAGAGAGCAGGAACAGCAUAUGCAAGGGCUCCUUCCGGAGGGAUGGAAGCCCCCCACCCCCAGCACGAAGGUCAGAGAUUAUUCCUGUGUCAUCAAUUCCAAGACACUUCCUUGCUCCCACUGAAAUCUCCCAAGUCAGGUUACACGGUAGAGUUGUCUCCCGGCUGGCCACAGUCCUAACAGAGUUGUCAUUGCCUGCACACGCCCAUGCGCUUCGAAGCAGCAAACCCUGCAGAAAGGGCAUCAGCAGCUCCGAAGGAAGCCCUGGAGGCAAGAACCGAGCCGGCACUCCCUUAACCCCUAACCCCGGGACUCAAAGGGUGUGAGGCCCCAGGGAAGAGAACCAGACUUAUCGGUACAGUUCCCCAAGCGGAAGUCCAGAGCGAAGCUGGCUUGCGACAGCUCUGGGGCUGCGGGCUUCAGAGUUGUCUGAUGGAUCGUUGGGGUGGGCUGCGCUGCAGGACUCACCAGGGCUCACAGGGGAGGUGGCGGCGAAACACAGAAACAUCGCGCCUCCGUCUCUGUCGGAGUCUAAAUGGGAAGGAGUUUUCCGAAUACCGUAAACCAAUUUAUUUUGCUUCUAUUUUCCCUUUUAUGUAUGCCUCUGAAUUACAUAUGAGAAUUUCUGUCUAAGUCAUAAACAGCUCCUUCGGGAAGUAUAAAAUAAAAGUUCUAGUGAUGAAAGAGACUUGAGACAUAGUCAACCGGCAGCAUUCUUUUUUUCCCUGAGUGGCAUCUAUUAUUUUUCAAUGGGUGACAUCUUACAUUUGAUGAAAUAUGGGGUAACAACAACCGUGGCACACAGGCUUACUGGCAGCCAGUCAUGGUUACAAGAACUUCACGCUGGGAACAUCUGAGUGGCUCAGUCGAUUAAACAUCAGACUCUUGCUUUUGGCUCAAGUCAUGAUCUCAGGGUAGCGAGAUCAAGCCUGGUGUCAGGCUCCGCUCUCAGCACAAAGUCUGCUUGAGAUUCUCUCUCCCUCUCUUUCUAAAAUAAAUAAAUAAAGGGGCAUCUGGGUGGCUCAGUGGGUUAAGCAUCUGCCUUCGGCUCGGGUCCUGAUCCCAGAGUCCCGGGAUCCAGCCCCACAUCGAGCUCCCUGCUCUGCCGGGAGUCUGCUACUCCUUCUCCCAUGCCUACUGCCCCCCUCCCUGCUUGUGCACCUUCUCUCUCUGCCCCUCUGUCAAAUGAAUAAAGUCUUUUUUUUAAAGAUUUUAUUUAUUUAUUCGACAGAAAGAGAGAUCACAAGUAGGCAGAGAGGCAGGCAGAGAGACAGGGGGGAAGCAGGCUCCCUGCUGAGCAGAGAGCCCGAUGUGGGGCUCGAUCCCAGGACCCCGAGAUCAUGACCUGAGCCGAAGGCAGUGGCUUAACCCACUAAGCCACCCAGGUGCCCCUGAAUAAAGUCUUUUUUAAAAA